UGGAGGAGGAACCUUGAGGAGCAUGAAGCAGAGAAUCAUGAAGCAGGAUCCUGGGAUGAGAUAAUCACUGCUGUGAGGAUCGAGUAUCUCCAGCUGUGGCCCAGCAGCGGCUGCAGCUCCUCUCUGCACUCAGACUGGCCCACGGGGAAGUGGCUUCUUGACCUCACCUGUGGGGUGGGAAUUAAGAACUACAAACCAUUUGCAGGAAAGGCCAAAAACUGGUGUGAUGGGUGAGAUCUUCAUACAGGUGCCUGUACAAAGGUUCACACCAGCUUAUCUCUUCAGUGAGAUGACACUCCCCGCCAAAAUAAUGCACAGUGCUGCAGAGGCUGUGUGUGGAAGAGGUCUCUGUGGUAAUUUGGCCACUGAAAAUGUAUUUCUGUGCUUGGCAUGUAUUUAAUGUCAUCUGUCUUCAGAUAGGUCUGAACGUCAGUAAGAUGAGAUCCGUGUGGGAACAUUGCCUUCAUCCCUUCUCCAGAGAGCUUAGGAGGUUUUUAAGGUCUGUUUGACUUUGCUUAGUUUAAUGCUGCAGUGAAAAGUGACUUUUUCUGCCUCCACAGCAUCAGGAAACUCGUGUCCCUUCUGCUGAACAGAUCAGAAAGCCUGAUGUAGGAAAUCUGAUUCUGAAAAUCUGGGUGCUCAGCCUCGGCUUCAGGCAGCGCUGGGCUGGUGCUGGUGGCACUCACAGGUGAGAACCAACUGCAGGAGAGCAGAACUUCCCAGGCAGCCUUUUCAGAACUUUAUUUUGCACAAUCCAGGGACUGCACAAGCAUUUCUGAUGUCCUUGGGGACAAUCAGCCUCCUGCUCUGCUAAACGCCGCACGUGGGAAGCCCAGGAUGGGACCGUGUGCUCUGGCUUAGAAGAGGAUUUAUUGAUGCGUUAAUGUGUGUUAAAGUAUGAAUGCACCUCAGCUUUUCCUGGUCAAAAAGUGCAGUGUGAUAUGGCAGUGUAAGAGGAGAGGUGGAAGGAAAGCUCAGUCCCCACGAGGGAAGGAAUUUGUACAUUGACGAAGCAAAGAGAAUCUCAAAAAUACGAACGUUUCACCUUGCUUAUUGCUUCACUGGUUGCUAAACUGUGGAAAGAAAAUUCCUGACUGUUUUCUUAGACAUCACUCCAGUUUCCCCAGUUAACCUUUAGAUUACCUGACAUUUUCAAUUUAAUCCAUGAAAUAAAUACAAAGUGAAAAUAUUCAAUUAAUGGGAAAAAAAAAAAAAAAAGGAGUUUAAAGAUAAUUGUGGGCAACUUCUAUGCAAGCUCAUCUUCUGAAGGAUCUCUUUAUCCCAAAUCUCCUUACAUUUUUUUUAAAACUCACAGCCUAAAGCAUAUUUUCUUUUCCCAGCACUGCUAGAUUUCAAGCCCCAUCCUUAACUGGUUUAAUGGA